rnacentral:rRNA from 1 species
AUUGAACGCUGGCGGCAUGCUUUACACAUGCAAGUCGAACGGCAGCACGAAAGAGCUUGCUCUUUUGGUGGCGAGUGGCGAACGGGUGAGUAAUGCAACGGAACGUACCGAGUAAUGGGGGAUAACUGUCCGAAAGGAUAGCUAAUACCGCAUACGCUUUGAGAAGGAAAGUGGGGGCUCUUCGGACCUCACGUUAUUCGAGCGGCCGAUGUCUGAUUAGCUAGUUGGUGGGGUAAAGGCCUACCAAGGCGACGAUCAGUAGCGGGUCUGAGAGGAUGAUCCGCCACACUGGGACUGAGACACGGCCCAGACUCCUACGGGAGGCAGCAGUGGGGAAUUUUGGACAAUGGGCGCAAGCCUGAUCCAGCCAUGCCGCGUGUCUGAAGAAGGCCUUCGGGUUGUAAAGGACUUUUGUUAGGGAAGAAAAGGAUAGUGUUAAUACCAUUAUCUGCUGACGGUACCUAAAGAAUAAGCACCGGCUAACUACGU